UACGUAGGGUGCAAGCGUUGUCCGGAAUUAUUGGGCGUAAAGAGCUCGUAGGCGGUCUGUCGCGUCGGCUGUGAAAACCCGGAGCUCAACUCCGGGCCUGCAGUCGAUACGGGCAAACUGGAGUGUUGCAGGGGAGACUGGAAUUCCUGGUGUAGCGGUGAAAUGCGCAGAUAUCAGGAGGAACACCGGUGGCGAAGGCGGUUCUCUGGGCCUGUACUGACGCUGAGGAGCGAAAGCGUGGGGAGCGAACAGG
rnacentral:rRNA from 1 species